rnacentral:rRNA from 1 species
AAAUUGAAGAGUUUGAUCAUGGCUCAGAUUGAACGCUGGCGGCAGGCCUAACACAUGCAAGUCGAACGGUAACAGGAAGCAGCUUGCUGCUUUGCUGACGAGUGGCGGACGGGUGAGUAAUGUCUGGGAAACUGCCUGAUGGAGGGGGAUAACUACUGGAAACGGUGGCUAAUACCGCAUAACGUCGCAAGACCAAAGAGGGGGACCUUCGGGCCUCUUGCCAUCAGAUGUGCCCAGAUGGGAUUAGCUUGUUGGUGAGGUAACGGCUCACCAAGGCGACGAUCCCUAGCUGGUCUGAGAGGAUGACUAGCCACACUGGAACUGAGACACGGUCCAGACUCCUACGGGAGGCAGCAGUGGGGAAUAUUGCACAAUGGGCGCAAGCCUGAUGCAGCCAUGCCGC